AUUGAACGCUGGCGGCAGGCUUAACACAUGCAAGUCGAGCGGAGCGAGGGUGCUUGCACCUUAGCUUAGCGGCGGACGGGUGAGUAAUGCUUAGGAAUCUGCCUAUUAGUGGGGGACAACAUUCCGGAAGGAAUGCUAAUACCGCAUACGCCCUACGGGGGAAAGCAGGGGAUCUUCGGACCUUGCGCUAAUAGAUGAGCCUAAGUCGGAUUAGCUAGUUGGUGGGGUAAAGGCCUACCAAGGCGACGAUCUGUAGCGGGUCUGAGAGGGUGAUCCGCCACACUGGGACUGAGACACGGCCCAGACUCCUACGGGAGGCAGCAGUGGGGAAUAUUGGACAAUGGGCGGAAGCCUGAUCCAGCCAUGCCGCGUGUGUGAAGAAGGCCUUUUGGUUGUAAAGCACUUUAAGCGAGGAGGAGGCUACUUAGAUUAAUACUCUGGGAUAGUGGACGUUACUCGCAGAAUAAGCACCGGCUAACUCUGUGCCAGCAGCCGCCGUAA
rnacentral:rRNA from 1 species